UACGAAGGGGGCUAGCGUUGCUCGGAAUCACUGGGCGUAAAGCGCACGUAGGCGGAUCUUUAAGUCAGGGGUGAAAUCCUGGAGCUCAACUCCAGAACUGCCUUUGAUACUGGGGAUCUCGAGUCCGGGAGAGGCGAGUGGAACUCCGAGUGUAGAGGUGAAAUUCGUAGAUAUUCGGAAGAACACCAGUGGCGAAGGCGGCUCACUGGCCCGGUACUGACGCUGAGGUGCGAAAGCGUGGGGAGGAAACAGG
rnacentral:rRNA from 1 species